AGCAGCCGCGGUAAUUCCAGCUCCAAUAGCGUAUAUUAAAGUUGUUGCAGUUAAAAAGCUCGUAGUUGAAUUUCGGGGUUAGUAGGUUGGUCAUGCCUCUGGUAUGUACUGGUCUCACUGAUUCCUCCUUCCUGAUGAACCGUAAUGCCAUUAAUUUGGUGUUGCGGGGAAUUUGGACUGUUACCUUGAAAAAUUAGAGUGUUUAAAGCAAGCUAACGCUUGAAUACAUUAGCAUGGAAUAAUGAAAUAGGACGUUCGAUCCUAUUUUGUUGGUUUCUAGGAUUGACGUAAUGAUUAAUAGGGAUAGUUGGGGGCAUUAGUAUUCAAUUGUCAGAGGUGAAAUUCUUGGAUUUAUUGAAGACUAACUACUGCGAAAGCAUUUGCCAAGGAUGUUUUCAUUAAUCAAGAACGAAAGUUAGGGGAUCGAAGACGAUCAGAUACCGUCGUAGUCUUAACCAUAAACUAUGCCGACUAGGGAUCGGAUGAUGUUAAUUUUUUAAUGACUCAUUCGGCGCCUUAC
rnacentral:sRNA from 1 species